ACAUGUCUACAACAUAGAAUUAAUGCAUUGAAUCCCAUUAGAACACCGCAAUUAAGAGUGCUCAUGCUAGAGUAGUACUGGGAUGGGUGAUAGCUUGGGAAGUCCUAGUGUUUUACAUGCC
rfam:Picea glauca, whole genome shotgun sequence.